UACGAAGUAGCAAUACUUAGUGGCGAACGGGUGAGUAAUAUGUGGGAAUCUACCUUUCGGUCUGGAAUAACAUGGGGAAACUUAUGCUAAUACCGGAUAAGCCUUUACAGGGAAAGCUUCAUGCUCCGAUUGAUGAGUCCACACUUGAUUAGUUAGUUGGUGAGGUAAUAGCUCACCAAGACAAUGAUCAAUAGCUGAUUUGAGAGGAUGAUCAGCCACAUUGGGACUGAGACACGGCCCAAACUCCUACGGGAGGCAGCAGUGGGGAAUCUUGCACAAUGGGGGAAACCCUGAUGCAGCGAUGCCGCGUGAGUGAAGAAGGCCCUUGGGUUGUAAAGCUCUUUCGUCGGGGAAGAAAAUGACUGUACCCGAAUAAGAAGGUCCGGCUAACUUCGUGCCAGCAGCCGCGGUAAUACGAAGGGACCUAGCGUAGUUCGGAAUUACUGGGCUUAAAGAGCACGUAGGUGGUUAAAAAAGUUGGUGGUGAAAUCCCAGAGCUUAACUCUGGAACUGCCAUCAAAACUUUUUAGCUAGAGCAUGAUAGAGGAAAGUAGAAUUUCUAGUGUAGAGGUGAAAUUCGUAGAUAUUAGAAAGAAUACCAAUUGCGAAGGCAGCUUUCUGGAUCAUUGCUGACACUGAGGUGCGAAAGCAUGGGUAGCGAAGAGGAUUAGAUACCCUCGUAGUCCAUGCCGUAAACGAUGUGUGCUAGACGUUGGAAAUUUAUUUUCAGUGUCGCAGCAAAAGCAUUAAGCACACCGCCUGGGGAGUACGACCGCAAGGUUAAAACUCAAAUGAAUUGACGGGGAC
rnacentral:rRNA from 1 species